rnacentral:rRNA from 1 species
CCUACGGGAGGCAGCAGUGAGGAAUAUUGGUCAAUGGACGAGAGUCUGAACCAGCCAAGUAGCGUGAAGGAUGACUGCCCUAUGGGUUGUAAACUUCUUUUAUAUGGGAGUAAAAUGUUCCACGUGUGGGUUUUUGUAUGUACCAUAUGAAUAAGGAUCGGCUAACUCCGUGCCAGCAGCCGCGGUAAUACGGAGGAUCCGAGCGUUAUCCGGAUUUAUUGGGUGUAAAGGGAGCGUAGGUGGAUUGUUAAGUCAGUUGUGAAAGUUUGCGGCUCAACCGUAAAAUUGCAGUUGAAACUGGCAGUCUUGAGUACAGUAGAGGUGGGCGGAAUUCGUGGUGUAGCGGUGAAAUGCUUAGAGAUCACGAAGAACUCCGAUUGCGAAGGCAGCUCACUGGACUGCAACUGACACUGAGGCUCGAAAGUGUGGGUAUCAAACAGGAUUAUAUACCCGUGUAGUC